GAUGAACGCUGGCGGCGUGCCUAAUACAUGCAAGUCGAACGAAACUUCUUUAUCACCGAGUGCUUGCACUCACCGAUAAAGAGUUGAGUGGCGAACGGGUGAGUAACACGUGGGCAACCUGCCCAAAAGAGGGGGAUAACACUUGGAAACAGGUGCUAAUACCGCAUAACCAUAGUUACCGCAUGGUAACUAUGUAAAAGGUGGCUAUACUACCGCUUUUGGAUGGGCCCGCGGCGCAUUAGCUAGUUGGUAGGGUAAAGGCUUACCAAGGCAAUGAUGCGUAGCCGAAUUGAGAGGUUGAUCGGCCACAUUGGGACUGAGACACGGCCCAAACUCCUACGGGAGACAGCAGUAGGGAAUCUUCCACAAUGGGCGAAAGCCUGAUGGAGCAACGCCGCGUGGGUGAAGAAGGUCUUCGGAUCGUAAAACCCUGUUGUUAGAGAAGAAAGUGCGUGAGAGUAACUGUUCACGUUUCGACGGUAUCUAACCAGAAAGCCACGGCUAACUACGUG
rnacentral:rRNA from 1 species